rnacentral:rRNA from 1 species
AUACGUAGGGGGCGAGCGUUGUUCGGAAUUAUUGGGCGUAAAGCGCGCGCAGGCGGUCCCUUAAGUCUGAUGUGAAAGCCCACGGCUCAACCGUGGAGGGCCAUUGGAAACUGGGGGACUUGAGUGCAGAAGAGGAGAGCGGAAUUCCACGUGUAGCGGUGAAAUGCGUAGAGAUGUGGAGGAACACCAGUGGCGAAGGCGGCUCUCUGGUCUGUAACUGACGCUGAGGCGCGAAAGCGUGGGAGCAAACAGGAUUAGAUACCCUGGUAGUCCACGCCGUAAACGAUGAGUGCUAAGUGUUAGAGGGGUCAAACCCUUUAGUGCUGUAGCUAACGCGUUAAGCACUCCGCCUGGGGAGUACGGCCGCAAGGCUGAA